AGCAAACUAGUUCUUAUAUGUUAGAUCAAAGAGCAUACUGCUCCUAUUAAAAAUGAUAUCCAUUUCUACGUUAAAAAUCGGGCUUUUAUGUCAGCGUGGAAUUUUAACAAUAGAAAUGGAGGAAACCUUUAACAGAAAUGACCGGUUUGCUCUUUAAUCUAACUAUAGGGACUAAUUUGACUA
rnacentral:pre_miRNA from 1 species